rnacentral:rRNA from 1 species
GAUGAACGCUAGCGAUAGGCUUAACACAUGCAGGUCGAGGGGCAGCAUGGUCUUAGCUUGCUAAGACUGAUGGCGACCGGCGCACGGGUGCGUAACGCGUAUGCAACUUGCCUCACAGAGGGGGAUAACCCGUCGAAAGACGGACUAAUACCGCGUACACUUGGGAUAGGGCAUCCUGACCCAAGGAAAUGAAAUUCGCUGUGAGAUAGGCAUGCGUCCCAUUAGCUAGUUGGUGAGGUAACGGCUCACCAAGGCGACGAUGGGUAGGGGAACUGAGAGGUUGAACCCCCACACUGGUACUGGGGAACGGACCAGACUCCUACGGGAGGCAGCAGUGAGGAAUAUUGGUGAAUGGGCGAGAGCCUGAACCAGCCAAGUCGCGUGAAGGAUGACUGUCUUAUGGAUUGUAAACUUCUUUUAUACGGGAAUAACAAGAGCCACGUGUGGCUCCCUGCAUGUACCGUAUGAAUAAGCAUCGGCUAACUCCGUG